GCUGCAUUUGUUUUUCCCGCCAUUUCUAGGUUCCUCUCUUCUAGAUCUUCAUCGCCGCCUGCUGUCUCCACCGCCACCUCCAUCCGGUGAUUCAACUUUAUCGUGAGUCUUAUUAUCCAUAACUUGAUAUCCUUGUAGCUUCGCAUUUGCUUAUAAUCGAUUUCCUUAAACCCUAGUUUUUACUCUGCUGAACAAAAUGUAAAAUAUUUUUUAUGUUUCCAUUGCUGCGUCGAUAAUUUCUAUAAAUUUGGAUGAAAAAUUGUAGGAAAAUGACAAGAGAAGAAGUUGAGAACGGAAGAGACUACAUGUUAAUAGACGGAGAGGACAAUGCCGUUCCAGAUGGAUUUAACACCGAUUAUCUAAAAG
rnacentral:lncRNA from 1 species